CAGCAGUAGGGAAUCUUCCGCAAUGGACGAAAGUCUGACGGAGCAACGCCGCGUGAGUGAUGAAGGUUUUCGGAUCGUAAAACUCUGUUGUUAGGGAAGAACAAGUACCGUUCGAAUAGGGCGGUACCUUGACGGUACCUAACCAGAAAGCCACGGCUAACUACGUGCCAGCAGCCGCGGUAAUACGUAGGUGGCAAGCGUUGUCCGGAAUUAUUGGGCGUAAAGCGCGCGCAGGCGGUUUCUUAAGUCUGAUGUGAAAGCCCCCGGCUCAACCGGGGAGGGUCAUUGGAAACUGGGGAACUUGAGUGCAGAAGAGGAGAGUGGAAUUCCACGUGUAGCGGUGAAAUGCGUAGAGAUGUGGAGGAACACCAGUGGCGAAGGCGACUCUCUGGUCUGUAACUGACGCUGAGGCGCGAAAGCGUGGGGAGCGAACAGGAUUAGA
rnacentral:rRNA from 1 species